UACAGAGGUCUCAAGCGUUGUUCGGAUUCAUUGGGCGUAAAGGGUGCGUAGGUGGCGUCGUAAGUCAGGUGUGAAAUUUCGGAGCUUAACUCCGAAACUGCAUUUGAUACUGCGGUGCUUGAGGACUGGAGAGGAGACUGGAAUUUACGGUGUAGCAGUGAAAUGCGUAGAGAUCGUAAGGAAGACCAGUGGCGAAGGCGGGUCUCUGGACAGUUCCUGACGCUGAGGCACGAAGGUCAGGGGAGCAAACGGG
rnacentral:rRNA from 1 species